CGGGAGCUCUAAUAACAAAACUGUUUCUGCAGAUAAAUGUUGUUUUUCCAACGUUGGCCGCCUCGCAAAAGUUGCUCCGCUUACACUCCCUCUUCCUACAGAAAGAGUGUGCUCCAAGGGGAGAGAAAGAGAACGAGAACGAGAGUAGAAAGCACCGCUAAUCGCAAUUUCACAGCGCACAAAUCGCACGCCAUUUUCUAGUAUGCUC